rnacentral:lncRNA from 10 species
CCAAAAUUAAGAAGAAUUGGAGUGGCAAACAUAAGUGCCCAUGAGUUUAGUAUACCAAAUACCACAAGAGUACAGAGGGCAAUUGCUGGUUGCACCACCAGCAACAAUUGCCCUCUUCUCCAUAAAAUAUUUUCUUUUAGGAACUACCCACAUGUAUUUUAUAGCAGCCACACGUUUGAGUGAGAUUAAUUCCAUCCCAGAUCCAAGGUGGCCCCUGCCUGGCAUAAUUUCAUCUUUUCUACCACACACUGACUAAUUCAGGAAGAGGAGAUAAUGCUGACCUAAGUCAGUUGGUGUAUGGAUUUUCUUGGCCAGUUCAGGUCUAAACCCAGUAAGUCUUAGGGCUUUUGGUCUAUGGCUGGGAAAGAAGACAUUCUUUCCUUCUGCCUAUAAAUAAGCAAGCAAUUUAGUCUCCAUUGCUGUUGACAGUCAUAUCACCUCCAUAGGAGAGGCUAGCAGAGGACAAAGCCAACACAUCAGAGGAGGGUGGGGUCUAGAGAACUAACAAGAAACAGAGCCAGCAUCCUGAUCAAACCAUGCCUGAAGCUAACAUUACUUCUGAAAGGUACAGCUGUGUAAGAUAAUAAAUUAUCUUUAAUUGUUUAAAACCAUUUAAAUUGAUUUUCCCCUGUUCCUUGCAACCAAAUCUUCCUUAAUGAUAUAGGAGCACAAAAAAGGGCCGAUUAAUUUUGUCUGGUGAUGUUGGAGAAGUCUUCCCACAGGGGAAAUCACUUGAGCUUUGACUUAUAGGACGAGUAAGAGUUCAUCAGGAAAUAAGAGAAGUAAAAAUGAUCAGCACUGCUUCUGUCAGGCAGCUGCGUGGCCCUCCACGACCCUCAGGUGACCUUGAGGGCGGCCUGACUUCCCUCCAGCACUAUUGCUGAGAUCCCAUCACUCUGGUCCUCCCUCCCCCAUGGAUCUGCAGGUUCUCAUCUCCAUUCGCCAGACAGCAGCUUAUUGCUAGUGAGGAGAGAUAUUAAAGCUACUCCGUCUGGCCAGGAAAUGGAAAGAACCCAGGAGAAUUAGCUGGAGAAAACCUAUUAAGCAACAAAGAACAUACCCAGCUGCCGAGACAUCUUUGGAAUUUUAAAUCAUACAAGUUGCCUUCAGAGUGGCUUUCCCAGCCUAGUGCUCUCCUCUUCAACAGGGCCUUGGAGACCAGUGGGGUUCGGAAUUUUACCAGCCUGGGCAACACCUCAUCCGUCUCCCUGUGUGCCUUCCUGUAACUUGGCCACAAGACUUUAACAACAAAAUCCACCACCAUGAAACUCCUAAAUAACUACCAUGAGCCCUCUUUCCUUUUGUAAAGCAAUCCUUUCCCUCUUGAGCCAAGAUAAAAUCCAGCCCUUGCUGUAGACUGUUAGCUUCACACCAGUGGGAGUCCCUUCUCCCGUGCAAGACUUUUCCUACGCAUUAUCUCAUGGGAGCUCACAGCAGCCCCAAGAACCAGGCAGGGGUGACCGGCCCCAGGGAGCAGAUGAGGACCCAGAGGCUCCAGGAGAUUCAGUGGCUUGCUCAAAGGUCACAGGGCUAACACCUAGAGGGGUCAAGAUUUGAACACAGGCCUUUGGGGCCCAUUUCUAGACCCCCAUGCUAGCUCUGUUCUUAUACAACAAUUCUAAGAAAAAAAUCUUUGUUGUGCCCACCCAGGCUGCCAUGUGAACAGGAGCAAACCUCACCAGAAGCACAAAGUAUUCUGUCCUUCUGGAAGCCUAAGAACCCACCGGGGGAUCAUGAGAGAACUCAGCUACCAAAGGGAG